rnacentral:rRNA from 1 species
AUUGAACGCUGGCAGCAGGCCUAACACAUGCCCGUCGAACGAGUGGCGGACGGGUGAGUAAUUUCUGGGAAACUGCCUGAUGUAGGGGGCUAACUACUGGACACGGUAGCUAAUACCGCAUACCAUCAGAUGUGCCCAGAUGGGAUUAGCUGGUUGUGGGGGUAACGGCUCACCGAGGCGCCGAUCCCUAGCUGGUCUGCGCGGAUGACCCGCCACCCUUGAACUGAGACACGGUCCAGACUCCGAGGGGAGGCAGCAGUGGGGAAGAUUGCACAAUGGGCGAAAGCCGGAUGCAGCCAUGACGCGUGUAUGAAGAAGGUCGUCGGGUUGUAAAGUACUUUCAGCGGGGAGGCGUUACCCGCAGAAGAAGCAUCGGCUAACUCCGUGCCAGCAGCCGCGGUAAUAC